rnacentral:rRNA from 1 species
UACGUAGGGGGGCAAGCGUUGUCCGGAUUUAUUGGGCGUAAAGAGCGUGUAGGCGGCCAGGUAGGUCAGCUGUGAAAACUCGAGGCUCAACCUCGAGACGUCGGUUGAAACCACCUGGCUAGAGUCCGGAAGAGGAGAGUGGAAUUCCUGGUGUAGCGGUGGAAUGCGUAGAGAUCCGGAAGAACACCGGUGGCGAAGGCGGUCUGCUGGGGUCGAACUGACGCUGAGGCGCGACAGCGUGGGGAGCAAACAGG